GGCCCGGGAGAGCAGCGCUGAGCCGGCUAACUGGGAGUGGACGGUGCUACCGGGGAUGGGAGAAGAGCAGAAGUGAGGGAAGGCCGCCCGCGCCGAAGCCCUGGGGCGCCCCAGCCGAGGAAGAGCCGGGAAAGGGCGUCGCCGCUCAUGUAGGCUCACCUUUCGAGUGCGGAGGGUGACGGACGCCCCCCGUUCAAGCAGCAGCUCAGCCACCUCGAAGUGGCCACAGUUGAGGGCAUCGUGGAGGGGGGUGAUGCCUUCGCAGCCCUGGCCACCUGGGUCGUCCACUGCGGCCCCGUGGUCCAGCAGGAAGCGGACAAUUUCUGCAGACCAGGA
rnacentral:lncRNA from 1 species